CAAAAUAAAUAAAUAAGCUUUAAAAAAUGUUUCAAACAGUUUUUAUAAAGGGGAAGGGUGUGUGUGGCUCUAUUCCUAGACUUUGGAGGAGGGAACUCGGUACAGCAGCGUCAGCUGGGUGCCCUUCUCCCGAGGAAGGUGAGCCUGCCUCCCUGGGGCCAUCCCCUGGAGGGGAGGCCCCAGAGCGGCCCAUCCUUCCUGCCUUCCCGCCGGGGGGCGCUGUGGGGGCACUUGCCCGCUCAAGAGCGUCGAAAAUCCUCAGAGCUCCCUGUGAGGUCGCUAUUUCUAUUCCCCUCGUUUUCAGAUGAGUAAAUGGCAGUUUGCGGAAGUUAGGAGAGUUGCUCGAGACUGGUUAGUGACAAAACUGGAUUCACAAACUCCGUUCUCCCUUACUCCCAGCUUGGAUCCUGACCCUUUCCUCUCCUUACUCAGGCGGCAGCAGAGACGGCAGGAGGUGUGGUGGGUGUGACUGCGUCUGAUGAGGCCCCCCCCCCCCCCCCCCCCCCCCCCCCGUGGCACAGGCAGGGUGCCCCGGAAAUGCGGACAAUCAGCGCUCUGGGGGUCAGCUGGGGGUAGCUCUACAAGUGGUCCAGGAAGGUGGCCACCCUUCGGGAGACUAGUGGUGGCCUCUCUGGCAACGGACUUCGUUUGAGGCUCUUUUGGACAUCUGAACGAUUUUGCAGUGAAAUCUUUUAGAGUCCCCGGAGGGUACGCCUGGGUCUGCGUCCCCUCCGCACUGAGCUGAGUCCCCAGCCAGAGCUGGAGCCCUCGCUUCUUUAUUCCAGCCACUGCCCCAGCGAUGCAGCCAAAUCCAGCGUGGCCGACUCCCGGCCUUUCCCUGGGGAAAGGAAUGCUGUUUCUGCUGGGUGAAGGGGACACUGUUGCCACACCAGCAAGAGACCUUGCAACUAAGAACCAUUAACUGAGGGUCAGAGCAAGUAUAGACCACACUGCAUCCAGGCCACAGACACCACCAAUCCUAGGGGCUGCGAAUCUUCGUGGAGAGAGGACAUGUCUAUGGUGGUAGCAGCCAAAAUAGAACAAAUUGCAACGGGCAAGUUGUGUUGGAAAGAAAGAGGAGCGCCCUCUUACAGCCUCACAGUGCAGA